UGGGGAAUAUUGCGCAAUGGGGGAAACCCUGACGCAGCGACGCCGCGUGGGUGAUGAAGGCCUUCGGGUCGUAAAGCCCUGUCGGAGGGGAAGAAGGACUUCGGUGCAAAUAGUUCCGAGGUCUGACGGUACCCUUAAAGGAAGCACCGGCUAACUCCGUGCCAGCAGCCGCGGUAAUACGGAGGGUGCAAGCGUUGCUCGGAAUUACUGGGCGUAAAGCGCGUGUAGGCGGUUUCGUAUGUCUGGCGUGAAAGCCCCGGGCUCACCCCGGGAAGUGCGCUGGAAACUGCGAGACUAGAGUCCCGGAGAGGAAGGUGGAAUUCCAGGUGUAGCGGUGAAAUGCGUAGAUAUCUGGAAGAACACCGGUGGCGAAGGCGGCCUUCUGGACGGUGACUGACGCUGAGACGCGAAAGCGUGGGGAGCAAACAGGAUUAGAUACCCCCGUAGUCC
rnacentral:rRNA from 1 species